CUUUUCCCCCCCCCCAUCCCCGCUAUGCGGGGGGGGGGUCCCCAAAUCUGAGGGGUCCCCAAUAGCAGUGGGGGGGGGGGGGGGCCCGAAUAUCAGUGGGGGUCCCCAAUAAUCCGGGGGGGGGUCCCCAAAACUGGGGGGGGGUCCACAAUGACGGUGGGGGUCCCCAAAAUUGGGGGGGGGGCUGAAUAAACCUUUGGGGGGUCCUCAAUUGUUAUGGGGGGGGGGGGAAUAGCAGAAGGGGGUCCCCAAGAUUGAGGGGUCCCCAAUAAUCCGGGGGGGUCCCCAAAUGGGGGGGGGUCCCUAAAUGAGGGGGGGUCCCUAAAUGAGGGGGGGACCCCAAAUCUGGGGGGGCCCCCCUAUACCAGAGGGGGCCCUCAGUUGUUCUGGGGGGGUCCCCAAUAAUGUGGGGGGGGGUCCCCAAAUUAGGGGGUCCCCAAUAUCUGUGGGGGUCCCCAAUAAUAUGGGGGGGGGGGCACCAAAAUGUGGGGGGGCCCCAAAAGCAGAGGGGGCCCUCAAUUAUAUUGAGGGGGUCCCCAAUAAUCGGGGGGGGGGUCCUCAAUAGUUAUGGGGGGGCCCCGAAUCUGAGGG
ensembl:lncRNA